UACGUAGGGGGCUAGCGUUGUCCGGAUUUAUUGGGCGUAAAGAGCGUGUAGGCGGCCAGGUAGGUCGGUUGUGAAAACUGGAGGCUCAACCUUCAGAGGUCGACCGAAACCAUCUGGCUAGAGUCCGGGAGAGGAGAGUGGAAUUCCUGGUGUAGCGGUGAAAUGCGCAGAUAUCAGGAAGAACACCCGUGGCGAAAGCGGCUCUCUGGAACGGUACUGACGCUGAGACGCGAAAGCGUGGGGAGCGAACGGG
rnacentral:rRNA from 1 species